rnacentral:rRNA from 1 species
CAGCCGCCGCGGUAAUACAGAGGUCCCGAGCGUUGUUCGGAUUCACUGGGCGUAAAGGGUGUGUAGGAGGUUGGAUAAGUCAGGUGUGAAAUCCCACAGCUUAACUGUGGAACUGCAUUCGAUACUGUCUGACUAGAGGAUCGGAGGGGGAAGCGGAAUUCUUGGUGUAGCGGUGAAAUGCGUAGAUAUCAAGAGGAACACCGGUGGCGAAGGCGGCUUCCUGGAAGAUACCUGACUCUGAAACACGAAAGCUAGGGGAGCGAAUGGGAUUAGAUACCCCCGUAGUCCCUGUCUCUUAUAC